AUGUCCGCGACGACGGCCGCGGCCGUGCGCCGGCUCUGCGCCACCGGCGAGGUGCGGUCGGCCCUGGCGCAGCUCGCCCGUGGCGCGAAGGCGGGCGACGGGGCGCUGGACGUGGCCGCGUGCACGGCGCUCGUCCACGCCUGCUGCAGGACCGGCGACGUGGCGGAGGCGCGGAGGGUGUUCGGCGUAAUGCCGCGCCUGGGGCUGGCCCCGAACGAGGUCACCUUCACCGCCCUGAUCCACGGCCACUUCCUUCUCGGGCGCAGGGAGGAGGGCUUCGCCCUGUUCGAGGAGAUGAGGAGGGGCGGCAUCGAGCCAAACAUCUACACCUACAACGUCCUGAUCGGGGAGUGGUGCAGGACGGGGGAGCUCGAGGGCGCCCGUCGCCUGUUCGACGAGAUGCCCCUGAAGGGCGUCGCGAGGAAUGCCGUCAGCUAUAACACGCUGAUCGCGGGGCUGUGCAGGCACGGCAGGAUGAAGGACGCUGCUGGCCUGCUGGAGAUGAUGCGGAAGGAGGGCAUCCGUCCCAGCAUCGUCACGUUCAACCUCCUCGUCGACGGGUAUGGCAAAGCUGGGCAGAUGUCCAAUGCCUUGCAUUUCUCCAACCAAAUAAGGGCGGCCGGGUACCAGCCCAACACUCUGACCUACAAUGCGCUCAUUGCGGGGUUCUGCCGUGCUAGAGAUAUAGCCCGCGCAAACAGGGCAUUCUCUGACAUGAAGGAGAGAGGACUGACACCCACAAAUGGGACCUACACAAUACUGAUUGAUGCGUUGGCCCGGGACGGUGACAUGGACAAAGCUUUUGAGAUGUUUGCAGAUAUGAGGAAGGCUGGUUUUGAGGUGGAUGUGCGCACUUACGGUGUUCUGGUGCAUGCCUUCUGCAUGGAUGGGAACAUGAAGGAUGCCAGGAAGCUGUUUCGGUCGAUGGAGGAGAAAGGUGUUAAGGCGAACGGUGUGAUCUAUGAUAUGAUGAUUUUUGGCUAUGGACGAGAAGGGAACUCUUACAAGGCUAUGAAAUUAAUCACGGAGAUGAGGAAGAAUGGCUUGGUUCCAAAUUUCGCUAGCUAUGGCCUGACGAUCCGUAGUCUUUGUAAUGAUGGUAAAUGUCCGGAAGCCGAAGCUCUUAUCAAGGACAUGGUGCGGGCUGGUCUACAACCUAACGAAUCGGUCUCCCAAGCACUACUGAAUGCCAAGGCAAGACAGUGAAGCUCGACCAGUAAUUUUUUUACCUAGGCAGUCAAGCAUGCAUUUUAUGUUUCUAUGCCGAUUCAUAUGUUGUAUAGUUGUUUUGGGAAAGUGGGAAGAGGAAGCACACCCUCUGAUGGAAAUUUCUUUAGUAAACUGAAACAGUGCUCAGUGGUUUACUGGACAUUGCCAGAACUUAACUAAGGACGAUAGUGAUAAGCAAAUUCAAAGCAACAAAAAGUAGAUGUAUGUGCAGAGCAUUCUCAGCGAGAUAAAGCUGAAGCAUUCAUCCUCUGGAGAGAACUGGUAGCUUGCGCCUCACAUCCUUAAUGUUGGCCAAUGUCAGUGCAGGUGUCGUUCAUACAUUCAUUCAUUCUUUCAUGCUCAUCAUGCCAGGAUCCAGAACGGACGGCUGAGAUGAUUGUUGUGCCACGACGGCUAAGUCAACCCACUCGCAUGGUCGCGCUCACACCUAACCGGGAGAGCCGUUAGGGCCUCGAACCCGCAACGGUAACUGGCGACGUUGGAGGCCAGCCAGCCGCUUCCAUCCUCUGGAAUCCCAACCACGGCUGCACGGCGCCGUCAACCCACCGUCACAGAGGCCCCUCGCUCUGGCGUCCGCUGCAAGCUUCCCUCGGUCUCCGAUACACGCGUUGCUUUUUUCUUUUCCUUAUCUCACCCCUAGCUUCUGUGGUUUUUGGUUUCGACACCUGAAUGGAUGUUCUUCGCUAAGAAAGAAAGAAAAUACCUAAAUGGAUGUAAGAGCAUUUA